rnacentral:rRNA from 1 species
GCGACCGGCGCACGGGUGAGUAACGCGUAUGGAACCUACCUACUACAGGGGGAUAACCCGGAGAAAUUCGGACUAAUACCGCAUAAUACUAUUUUCCCGCAUGGGAAAAUAGUUAAAGAUUAUUGGUAGUAGAUGGGCAUGCGUUCCAUUAGCUGGUUGGUAAGGUAACGGCUUACCAAGGCAACGAUGGAUAGGGGAACUGAGAGGUUUGUCCCCCACACUGGAACUGAGACACGGACCAG